rnacentral:rRNA from 1 species
GACGGAGGGCGCAAGCGUUGUCCGGAAUUACUGGGCGUAAAGGGCGCGUAGGCGGCUUACCAAGUCAGGCGUGAAAUUCCCGGGCUCAACCUGGGGGCUGCGCUUGAUACUGGUGAGCUUGAAUGCGGGAGAGGAUAGUGGAAUUCCCAGUGUAGAGGUGAAAUUCGUAGAUAUUGGGAAGAACACCAGUGGCGAAGGCGACUCACUGGACAUGUAUUGACGCUGAGGUGCGAAAGCGUGGGGAGCAAACAGG